rnacentral:rRNA from 1 species
ACGCUCGACACCUACGGGAGGCAGCAGUGGGGAAUAUUGCACAAUGGGGGAAACCCUGAUGCAGCGACGCCGCGUGAGCGAAGAAGUAUUUCGGAUGUAAAGCUCUAUCAGCAGGGAAGAAACUGACGGUACCUGACUAAGAAGCACCGGCUAAAUACGUGCAAGCAGCCGCGGUAAUCUGGAGCGGGCUGGCAAGGC